UAGCAGAUGCGCCUAGCUCGAUGGAGGAUUCAGAUUGGGGAAAUAGGCUAGGAUUUUUUUUCCUAGGGGAUAUUCGAUGAGGGGCAUUUGCUGCAUUUGCUCGCCUAGCUAGGGUUUGUUUCCAACUCCAGUGUAUACACGAAAGAGGGCCAACAGACCCAAGAGGAGUUACAGAAAAGGAACCUCGGGGAGGAACGUGAGCGCAAGCACUACUCUUCCAAGGAUAAGUCCUAUGAUGAAGAGAGAGACCGGCGGGAAAGUUUAAGCCAGCUACUCUUAGAAGGUCCAAAGAGAGAUGCUGAGGAUAAGAUAGUUCCACGAGAAUCGAUGCAGAUGACUCCGAUGUGGUGCCUAAAAGUUACGACAAAAGGUCUGUAUCAUUUUCCUUUUAAGUGAAAAGUGCUGGGAUUUUUCUUGUUUCUACCCUAGCAGUAUUGACCUUAUUUGUGACUGCAAUAACUGUAGAUUGUGUUAAAAACACCUUUUUGUUUUUUUAUGUGUCACCUUCAGUAAAACGUUCUAUACCCACAAGA